rnacentral:lncRNA from 1 species
UGCCAACCCGGGCAGUCAGGCUCCAGAGCCGGCACUCUCCGUUUCUGCCCCCAGUGCAGAAGCAGACGGAGGGCACUGUCACCCAGGGCAGAGGGUAUCCUCUGCACCGCCUCCCAGCUCCCACACAGGCCAGCAGGCGUGUUGUCCUCGCCUCCUGGGGCACACCCACCUUGGAAGCAGCAUCGGGGACCAGCGACUGGCAACCCCCGGGUGCCCCGCUUCCGCUAGCACCCGCCACCAUCAGGAAACUGGGCACUAGCAAAAGUGAAACUGACUUUGCCAGUUCCGCCCCCGCAGAGGGAAACGGGGAGCAGCCUCGGCUGGUCAACAACCGGUUAGGCACUUUUUAUUGCCCGCACUGUCAUAAUCCUCCGGGCUUGGCCGGGGUGAAGAGGAAAUGGGAAGGCAAGGAAUUCCAAGAUGCCUGCAGAGUUCAUGCCAGCCAUCCCCUUGCUUCUAGGAACCGGAGAAGAGAGAGCGAGCCUGCGAGCCUGCACGGGAGCCCGAGACGCACCCACGCACCAAGGAAGAAACAGAGAGACACUCCCCAAGAUAAAGGGAGAGACUCCAGCGAAGAAGCAGAGACCCGGGCCACAGAGAAGCCUGCGCAGGGAGCCGGAGACGCACAGAAGGACGGAGGAAUGGAGAGGUUUCCAUUUCUCUUGAAUGGAGACAAAAAAGAUACAGAAUGGGCAAACAAAUAUAGCAAACCUCUGGUUUCUUGUUGUAUUUUAUUAAAUCUUGGGUAACUCUUGGAGAAUAGACCACUGACGUUGCAUAAAGGCUGGGCUCGGAGGGGAGGCGGGAGGACAGACAGUAAGAAGCAUCGGGUUGAGCCAAGACAAAUUAUGAAGAGAGCCACAUAUCACAAAGGUUUGUACACAGUAGGCGCUCAAUCAUCACUGAUGGCAGGGGACCCCUCUCUCCUGAGGCCAGGACAACUGAAAAUUUAAAGGCAGCAAUGGUGGGGGGGCCGCCUGGCUGGCUCAGUUGGAAGGGCAUGCAACUCUUGAUCUCCCAGUGGUGGUGACUUCAAGCUCCACGUUGGAGGAGAUAACUUAAAUAAAUAAAGUUUAAAAAAAAACA